AAAAUUACAUUUUCAUAACUUUUACAAUUGGACACGUUGGGAAGACUUAAGUGAAGAUGAUGAAGAAGUUGCUCUCUCUAUCAUGCCACGUCUGGAGGAGUUAGAUUUUUGGGGCUGUGGAAAGCUUGAAAUUCUACCACAUCGCAUCCUCGGAAGGAUAUCAUCUCUCAAAAAAUUGGAUAUUGGGCGUUGCUCUAAGUUGAGAGAUCAUUACUCUGACAAAACAAGAGAUGACUGGAAACAAAUAUCACACAUUCCUCAAGUUCAUAUAUCCAAUUAGUAUUAAUCAGAUAAUAUUCAUUGCUGGCUCAAAAUGAAGCUACAGCAAAAGGCAUUGACGGAUCAACCUCUACGUCAACUUUUCACUUGGAUUCAUGCAAAAUUUUGAAUAAUUGUAAAAAUAUGGUUGAAGCGACACAUCCACUUGCUUUGUUCAAAAUCAUUUGUUGAAAGCGUCUGUAACCUUGUCAAUUUCCAGAUUGAAUUUCAAGUGGGUACACAACCAGUCUUUAUUUCUUCAAAUUAUUAUUGUCCUAUUGUAUGUAAGUUUGUGUACAUUUAAUAAAGAAGAAUGUUUGUA